rnacentral:snoRNA from 1 species
GCUGCUGCUGCAGCUGCUGCUGCUGCUGCUGCCUCUGCUGCUGCAGCAGCUGCAGCAGCAGCAGCAAAGAACAGCUCUUCAGGGACUGCGGGGACUGAGGCGAGGAGACACU